rnacentral:rRNA from 1 species
UACGUAGGGUGCAAGCGUUAAUCGGAAUUACUGGGCGUAAAGGGUGCGUAGGCGGGAUCUUAAGUCAGAGGUGAAAGCCUGGAGCUCAACUCCAGAACUGCCUUUGAUACUGGGAUUCUUGAGUUCGGGAGAGGUGAGCGGAACUGCGAGUGUAGAGGUGAAAUUCGUAGAUAUUCGCAAGAACACCAGUGGCGAAGGCGGCUCACUGGCCCGAUACUGACGCUGAGGCACGAAAGCGUGGGUAGCAAACAGG